GGCAUUUCUCAUUGGCUGAGCUGCAGAUUUUCUCAUUGGCUGAGCUGUGGCGUUUCUCAUUGGCUGACCUGUGGAGGCUUCUCAUUGGCUGAGCUAUGGCGCUUCUCAUUGGCUGAGCUGUGGUGUUUCUCAUUGGCUGGGCUGUGGUGUUUCUCAUUGGCUGAGCUGUGGAGGCUUCUCAUUGGCUGAGCUAUGGCAUUUCUCAUUGGCUGAGCUGUGGCGUUUCUCAUUGGCUGAGCUGUGGCGUUUCUCAUUGGCUGAGCUGUGGAGGCUUCUCAUUGGCUGAGCUGUGGUGUUUCUCAUUGGCUUGCUGUGGUGUUUCUCAUUGGCUGAGCUGUGGUGUUUCUCAUUGGCUGAGCUGUGGUGUUUCUCUUUGGCUGGGCUGUGGUGUUUCUCAUUGGCUGAGCUGUGGUGUUUCUCAUUGGCUGAGCUGUGGUGUUUCUCUUUGGCUGGGCUGUGGUGUUUCUCAUUGGCUGAGCUGUGGUGUUUCUCAUUGGCUGAGCUGCGGUGCUUCUCAUUGGCUGAGCUGUGGUGUUUCUCAUUGUCUGGGCUGUGGUGUUUCUCAUUGGCUGAGCUGUGGAGGCUUCUCAUUGGCUGAGCUGUGGUGUU
rnacentral:lncRNA from 1 species